rnacentral:rRNA from 1 species
UACGUAGGGUGCGAGCGUUAAUCGGAAUUACUGGGCGUAAAGUGUGCGCAGGCGGCCGAGCAAGUCGAGUGUGAAAGCCCCGGGCUUAACUUGGGAAUUGCGCUCGAAACUACUUGGCUGGAGUGUGGCAGAGGAAGGCGGAAUUCCAGGUGUAGCGGUGAAAUGCGUAGAGAUCUGGAGGAACACCGAUGGCGAAGGCAGCCUUCUGGGCCAACACUGACGCUCAUGCACGAAAGCGUGGGGAGCAAACAGG